AACAAACUCUACUACGACAUCUAAAAAUCCCAGCAUAUACGAAGGCAAUUAUUAACAACAGGUAGAAGGGUAGUGUAGUACUGUGUUCUGGGACUACGAUUGCGGGGUAUGUCUUUGUAGGGUACAGAAGAUGAGGUUUGUUUACAUAGCGCAGAGUAGUAGGCAAAUUCUCAACAACAGGUAAAGGGUUUUGUUUUGAAAUGAAUGUCUAGUGAUGUGUUUUGGGAGUACGAUUGUGGGGUAUUUUCCUGAAGGGUACGGAUGAAGAAGAGGUUUGUUUACGUAAUGCCAGUCUGUAGGGAAUUCUCAACAACAGGUAAAGGGUUUUGUUUUUAAAUGAAUGUGUAGUGAUGUGUUUUAAGGUUACGAUUGCGGGGUAUAUGUCUGAAGGGUACGGAAGAGGAGGUUUGUUUACAUAGCGCAGAGCAGUAGGCAAAUUCUCAACAACAUGUAUAGAGUUUUGUAUUUGAAAUGAAUGUGUAGUGAUGUAUUCUGGGACGACGAUUGCGGGGUAUAUUUCUGAAGGGUACGGAUGAAGACUAUGUUUGUUUACGUAAUGCCAGAGUCCGUAGGCAAUUCUCAACAACAGGUAUAAAGAUUUGUAUCUGAAAUGAACGUGUAGUGAUGUGUUUUGGGGUUACGAUUGCGGGAUAUAUUUCUGAAGGGUACGGAUGAAGAAGAGGUUUGUUUACAUAGCGCAGAGUAGUAGGCAAAUUCUCAACAACAUGUAUAGAGUUUUGUAUUUGAAAUGAAUGUGUAGUGAUGUAUUCUGGGACGACGAUUGUGGGGUAUAUUUCUGAAGGGUACGGAUGAAGACUGUGUUUGUUUACAUAGCGCAGAGCAGUAGGCAAAUUCUCAACAACAUGUAUAGAGUUUUGUAUUUGAAAUUAAUGUGUAGUGAUGUAUUCUGGGACGACAAUUGUGGGGUAUGUUUCUGAAGGGUACGGAUGAAGACUGUGUUUGUUUACGUAAUGCCAGAGUCUGUAGGCGAUUCUCAACAACAGGUAUAAAGAUUUGUAUUUGAAAUGAACGUGUAGUGAUGUAUUUUGGGGUUACGAUUGUGGGAUAUAUGUCUGAAGGGUACGGAAGAUGAGGUUUGUUUACAUAGCGCAGAGCAGUAGGCAAAUUCUCAACAACAUGUAUAGAGUUUUGUAUUUGAAAUUAAUGUGUAGUGAUGUAUUCUGGGACGACGAUUGUGGGGUAUAUUUCUGAAGGGUACGGAUGAAGACUGUGUUUGUUUACGUAAUGCCAGUCUGUAGGCAAUUCUCAACAACAGGUAAAGGGGUUUGUUUUGAAAUGAAAAUGGUGAUGUGUUCGAGGACCUUACAGCAUACUUCCUAACUUCUAAGCGAUAACCACCAGUCUCCGCAGCACUAAGGCAAGCAUGGUUCUCGAAGGCUUAACCCGGGCCCUCAAUACCCUCCCCCCCCCCUGUACACACCCUCAGUAGUCAGUGUUGCCAACCUAAUGGGAUUGUCACACCUUUAAAUGACCUCCAGAAUAUCUUACCUAAGCCAUUUCUAGUUACCCAGUGCUACCAACCUCACCCCAAGCACACAGGAGUCAAGGUCAAGAGAGUCUGGCUUAAGUACUAGAUGCAGGAAUGGUUGGUAGUCCUGGCUGUUCAGUGUUGCCAACUUAUGGGGAUUCACACCUUCAAAAUUAAUUACCUUCAAAGCAUCUUCCCUAAGCCAGACCCAGUGCUACCAACCUCACCACAAGCACACAAGAGUCAGGUCAAAAGAGUCUGGAAAGGUUGGUAGUCCUGGUUGGUAGUCAGUGUCGCCAACCUAAGGGGAUAGUCACACCUUUAAACGAAUUCCAGUGCUACCAACCUCGCCACAAGCACUCAGGAGUCAGGUCAAGAGUCGGAAAGGUUGGUAGUCCUGGUUGGUAGUCAGUGUCGCCAACCUAAGGGAAUUGUCACACUUUUAAACGACCACAAAAACAUCUUACGGCUUUAUUAUAGAUAACAACUUUCUCUUGUUUAUUUUUUGCACUGCUACUUAAUGGUAUAAACGUUACGAUGCCUACAAAUGAAUUAUAAGUAAAUGAAUUAUAAGAAGUAUGCGUAUCGUGUUUUCUUUGCGUCUCCGAGCACGGACAGACAGACGAACACACGCACAACCUCACUAAAGACAGAGAGAAAACAAAACAUAGUAAAUCAGCAUGAAAUCAGUGAAGAAAUACGCCUGAAAAUAUAUAUAUAUCUCUAUAAAACACAGACAACAAAACAAAUAAAUAAAAAUAAGUAUGUAAUUCUGAUUUCCUCCGAGCAGACACGCCAACCCUUCCACAUUUCACGAGACAGAUUAAGCGGGUGUUAUGCCCUUCAAUCAACUUCUAUGGCAUUUCCGACACCAUAUCAACCUGCUUCUCCAUUUCCUUCCACGCAACAGAUUAUUAAGUGGAUGUUCUGCUCUUUUCAACAUCAAUUUAACCCCACUUAAUAAUCUUACCCCUACACAAGACUGGUUAUUAAGUGGGUGUUAUGCCCUUCAAUCAACUUCUAUGGCAUUUCCGACACCAUAUCAACCUGCUUCUCCAUUUCCUUCCACUCAACAGAUUAUUAAGUGGAUGUUCUGCUCUUUUCAACAUCAAUUUAACCCCAAUUAAUAAUCUUACCCCUACACAAGACUGGUUAUCAAGUGGGUGUUAUGCCCUUCAAUCAACUUCAAUGGCAUUUCCGACACCAUAUCAACCUGCUUCUCCAUUUCCUUCCACGCAACAGAUUAUUAAGUGGAUCUUCUGCUCUCUUCAACAUCAAUUUAACCCCACUUAAUAAUCUUCCCCCUACACAAGACUGGUUAUUAAGUGGGUGUUAUGCCCUUCAAUCAACCUCUAUGUCAUUUCCGACACCACAUUCACUAGAAAUUACUCACUCUGUCCUUCUCUUCCCUUUCCCAGCACUCUGUCACUCCCUGUCCAGUAACUAAUGUAAUCUAAUUUACUUUCCUACGCAUGUGUUCAAGGUUGUAUGGCCCAGUUUUACGUUUCAACAGUGUCAAUAUUAGCACCCAAACCAAGUAAUUUUCUCUGUAAUGGUCCGCUUUUCUACUUGACAUUCGUAACUACAGAGAUUUUUUGUGUGGUUUUGUCAAAUUUAUUAACGUUUAUAUAAAUGGCAAAGAAUCGAAACACUUUACAGGGAUGUUCGUAGUGUUUAUACUUUUUGAUAUGACAUCCGAUACGAAAAAGACUUCCUGUGUGGUGUCGGCAAAUUUCGUAGUGUCUAUACAAAUGCCAAAGAUCCAACUUGACAUUCGCAACUACAGUGAUUUUAUGUGUUUUUUUGUCAAAUUUCUUGACGUUUAUAUAAAUGUCAAAGAAUUCAAACACUAUACAGGGAAUUUUCAUCAGUGCUUCGUUUUCUAUGUGACGUCCAAUACGAAAAAGACUUCCUGUGAGGAGUUGUCAAAUUUCGUAACAUCUAUACAAAUACCAAAGAAUCCAAACACUUUACAGGGACUUUCAUAGUGUUUAUACUUCUUCUAUAUGAUCUACGAUACCAUAGAGACUUCCGGCGUGGUGUCGUCAAAUUUCGUAACAUCUAUACAAAUACCAAAGAAUCCGAACACUUUACAGGGACUUUCAUAGUGUUUAUACUUCUUCUAUAUGAUCUACGAUACCAAAGAGACUUCCGGCGUGGUGUCGUCAAAUUUCGUAGCGUCUAUACAAAUGCCAAACAGGAGGAAGCCACAUCUGAGCACCAUGUCGGACGCUAAUCACUUCGUUUAUGAAUUUUACUGAGCUGAUUAUCGCGUCUAUGAAUUUUGCCGAGCCAAGGCCUGCGUUUAUGAAUUUUACUGAGCCAAUUCCUGCGUUUAUGAAUUUUGCCUAGCCAAUUAUUGCGUUUAUGAAUUUUACGAGCAUGUCAAUUACCGCGUUUAUGAAUUUUACCAAGCCAAUUAUUGCAUUUAUGAAUUUUACGAGCAAGUCAAUUACUGCGUUUAUGAAUUUUACCAAGCCAAUUAUUGCAUCUAUAAAUCUUCCAAGCAAGCCAAUUACAGCGUUUAUGAAUUUUACGAGCAUGUCAAUUACUGCGUUUAUGAAUUCUACCGAGCCAAUUAUCACAUUUAUGGAUCUUCCGAGCAUGCCGGUCCGGUGUUCCCCCUUGUCAUAUAUAUACCAUUUAACUUAUCCCCAGGCCCAUAGACGACACGAUAUCUGCAAGCACUGUGACCUUGGUAUCCCUUCCUCUGUACUAUACUGUCAUUAAUUACGAAUCCGUACCCUAAACAAGGAAUUUUCAGGAAUUUUCAUAGUGUUCAGAACUGGUCCUGGUUAUAUACAAGGCGUGGAUUGGCGGAAAGGCUUAUAUACCAAUACAUUACGAUAUACCGAGCCGUUCCGUCACUCCACUUCCCAUGUUUAACCUUUCUUCCACGCCUUCCUUCCAUCCCUCAGGCCUCCACAUUCACCCCUUUCCACUCUUCGCUCGAUAUGAUGGUAAUGACUUGAAUAGCAACACUGCUAAACAAAACAUGAUCACGGCAGUUUAGAAUAGAGUGAGUGUGUGUGGAAUCAAAACAGUAACAAUGAGGCCGCCCCGGGAGUGUGUGGCACAGCGAGAGUUGAAUUUAUUUUACAGUGAAGACUUGUGUUGGAGUGUGUGUGUGUUUGUGUGUGUGUUGUAGUGUGGGUCUGUAAUGUGAAGGGAAGGGAAGGGAAUGGAAAAGGAAGAGAAGGGAAGAGAAGGAAGAGAAGGGAAGGGAAGGAAGAGGAAGUGAAGGGAAGGGAAGAGAAGGGAAAGGAAGGGAUAGGAAAGGAAGAGAAGGGAAGGGAAGGGAAGGAAAGUUAAGGAAAGGGAAGGAAAACGAGGGGAAAGGAAAUGAAUGAGAUGAGGAAAGAUGUGUGUGUGUGUGUGUGUGUGUGUGUGUGUGUGUGUGUGUGUGUGUGUGUGUGUA